rnacentral:rRNA from 1 species
CCUUACCUACCCUUGACAUGCCAGGAAUCCCGCAGAGAUGUGGGAGUGCUCGAAAGAGAACCUGGACACAGGUGCUGCAUGGCCGUCGUCAGCUCGUGUCGUGAGAUGUUGGGUUAAGUCCCGCAGCGAGCGCAACCCUUGUCAUUAGUUGCUACGAAAGGGCACUCUAAUGAGACUGCCGGUGACAAACCGGAGGGAGGUGGGGAUGACGUCAGGUCAUCAUGGCCCUUAUGGGUAGGGCUACACACGUCAUACAAUGGCCGGGACAGAGGGCUGCCAACCCGCGAGGGGGAGCUAAUCCCAGAAACCCGGUCGUAGUCCGGAUCGUAGUCUGCAACUCGACUGCGUGAAGUCGGAAUCGCUAGUAAUCGCGGAUCAGCUUGCCGCGGUGAAUACGUUCCCGGGUCUUGUACACACCGCCCGUCACACCAUGGGAGCGGGUUCUGCCAGAAGUAGUUAGCCUAACCGCAAGGAGGGCGAUUACCACGGCAGGGUUCGUGACUGGGGUGAAGUCGUAACAAGGUAGCCGUAUCGGAAGGUGCGGCUGGAUCACCUC